rnacentral:rRNA from 1 species
UGGGGAAUUUUGGACAAUGGGCGAAAGCCUGAUCCAGCGAUGCCGCGUGUGUGAAGAAGGCCUUCGGGUUGUAAAGCACUUUUGUCCGGAAAGAAAUCCUUGGCUCUAAUACAGUCGGGGGAUGACGGUACCGGAAGAAUAAGCACCGGCUAACUACGUGCCAGCAGCCGCGGUAAUACGUAGGGUGCAAGCGUUAAUCGGAAUUACUGGGCGUAAAGCGUGCGCAGGCGGUUUGCUAAGACCGAUGUGAAAUCCCCGGGCUCAACCUGGGAACUGCAUUGGUGACUGGCAGGCUAGAGUAUGGCAGAGGGGGGUAGAAUUCCACGUGUAGCAGUGAAAUGCGUAGAGAUGUGGAGGAAUACCGAUGGCGAAGGCAGCCCCCUGGGCCAAUACUGACGCUCAUGCACGAAAGCGUGGGGAGCAAACAAGAUUAGAUACCCUGGUAGUCCACGCCCUAAACGAUGUCAACUAGUUGUUGGGGAUUCAUUUCCUUAGUAACGUAGCUAACGCGUGAAGUUGACCGCCUGGGGAGUACGGUCGCAAGAUUAAAACUCAAAUGAAUUGACGGGG